rnacentral:piRNA from 1 species
UUAUCGAAUAUUGAAAAAUUC